AAAAACAAAAAAAAAACAACAACACGCGGUGCCAGUACCUAAUCCGAAUGUAAACUUGUGCAAGGUAAUAAUUAAGACAGGGAAUGAAACAGGCUAAAAAUAAAUAAAAACAUUGUAAAUAAAUAAAUUAAUUAAUUUAAUAAAUAAAUAGAUAUCUGUGGAAGAGAAAUGCAGAAUUUUAGCUGUUUGAAACCCAACUCCAGUGCCUGGUAUUAUAGUUUACUAGGUUGUAAAGUAGGAUAAAUGCAAAAGAGGAGUGAAGGCACAAUGAAGAUCUAUAAAAGAUUUCAUUAAUUUUCAUUUAUUUUAUUUAUUUCAUAGAUACAAAUACAACACAAUCAAACAGUAAUAUAAAAAGUAGGCAAAAAAAAAAGACAUAACAUUAACAAGAAGGUAUAUAGCAUGCCCAUAAACAAAGAGAUUGUUAAUCUAACUUAAUAAUCGAUAUAUCGAUGUAUCGUCGAUAUUUGUCUUCCGAUAUAUCGGUAUCGUCGAUAUGCAAAAGACCCAAUCAAUGACAGCCCUAGUGAUUUUCUAAGCUAUAUUGACUGGAACAGGGUUGGUCUUUACAAAUACAGAGCUGUCAAUGCUGCAAUUUUGUUGUGAAAGUCACAAUCCAUUUCAGAAGGUGCUUGUUUUACUAUACAGCAAAGACGAAGAAAUUGUACUGGGCCGACACCUAUAUGGGAAAUAGUUAAUUUUGAAUAUCUCAGCAACCAAAGGGUUUACAGCAAUGGAACUUCACACACUAGUAGCUGAUAACAAUAAAAACCAGUGGCUAAAAGAAUUUUAUCAAGUACCCAAAAACAUGAAAUGAGAGCGCUUGAACAGUGUAAAGUUUGUCGCAUAGAUGGAGAUUGACCGCCUUUAUGUAUAUAUAAGUCUACAACUUCUCAGAUUUUACUGAAGACAAUUGUUGGUGUUGGGAAUAGAGAAAUAUAUUCAAGGUAGGGCAGUUUUCCAAAAACGCAACAAGAAGUUCA